rnacentral:tRNA from 1 species
GCCGGCGUAGCUCAGUGGUAGAGCAAGUGAUUCGUAAUCACUAGGUCGAGGGUUCAAAUCCCCCCGCCGGCU